rnacentral:misc_RNA from 1 species
GGGAGAUGUAUACUGAAGAUGGACCACCAUUGUGUGUGGGUCGUCAAUUGUGUUGGAGCAAAGAACUACAAGUACUUCCUGCUUUUUUUGUUCUACACAUUUCUUGAAACAACCCUUGUCACUUUGUCAUUAUUGCCAUACUUCGUAGCCUUUUUCUCUGAUGGUGAUAUAACGGGAACACCUGGCAGCCUUGCAGCUAUA